GGGGCGCAGCAGGCGCGAAACCUCCUGCAAUAGGCGAAAGCUUGACAGGGUUACUCUGAGUUGAUUUCCGUUAAGGAGAUCUUUUGGCACCUCUAAAAAUGGUGCAGAAUAAGGGGUGGGCAAGUCUGGUGUCAGCCGCCGCGGUAAUACCAGCACCCCGAGUGGUCGGGACGAUUAUUGGGCCUAAAGCAUCCGUAGCCGGUCCUGCAAGUCUUCCGUUAAAUCCAGCUGCUCAACAGAUGGGCUGCGGAGGAUACUACAGGGCUAGGAGGCGGGAGAGGCAAGCGGUACUUUAUGGGUAGGGGUAAAAUCCGUUGAUCCAUAGAAGACCACCAGUGGCGAAGGCGGCUUGCCAGAACGCGCUCGACGGUGAGGGAUGAAAGCUGGGGGAGCAAACCGGAUUAGAUACCCGGGUAGUCCCAGCUGUAAACGAUGCAGACUCGGUGAUGGGUUGGCUUCGUGCCAACCCAGUGCCGCAGGGAAGCCGUUAAGUCUGCCGCCUGGAGAGUACGGUCGCAAGACUGAACUUAAAGGAAUUGGCGGGGGAGCAC
rnacentral:rRNA from 1 species